rnacentral:rRNA from 1 species
CAGCAGCCACGGUAAAACGAAGGGGGCUAGCGUUGUUCGGAUUUACUGGGCGUAAAGCGCACGUAGGCGGAUCUUUAAGUCAGGGGUGAAAUCCCGAGGCUCAACCUCGGAACUGCCUUUGAUACUGGAGAUCUCGAGUCCGGAAGAGGUAAGUGGAACUGCGAGUGUAGAGGUGAAAUUCGUAGAUAUUCGCAAGAACACCAGUGGCGAAGGCGGCUUACUGGUCCGGAACUGACGCUGAGGUGCGAAAGCGUGGAGAGCAAACAGGAUUAGAUACCCGCGUAGUCCCUGUCUCUUAUAC